rnacentral:rRNA from 1 species
UACGGAGGGGGCAAGCGUUGUCCGGACUUACUGGGCGUAAAGGGUGCGUAGGCGGCCUGCUGCGUCGGUGCUGAAAGCGCCCGGCUUAACCGGGCGAGGCGUGCCGAUACGAGCGGGCUGGGGCCUUGGCGAGGGUGGCGGAACUCCUGGUGUGAGUGGUGAAAUGCGUAGAGAUCAGGAAGAACACCCGUGGCGCAAGCAGGCCAC